GAUUCUGCUGCCUAGGCUGACUUUGAACCUUGGUUCUCAGUUCUCCGCUUCUUUAGUAGCUAGGAUUAUUGGGUGUAACCACUGGAGUCCAGCUCUGCUUCUGUAUUUUUAGUCAGUUUUAUUAGUAUUAUGACUUUAUUCUGAUCAUGGUGAAAUUUGCCUAUAAUCUCAGAUAUGUAGUUAUCAGAGAUAUGACGACUGCAAUAGAUGUCAGUCCAGGCAAAAAGUUAGCAAUACUUUUUAUCUUGAAAAUAGGCCAUGCACGUAGCCAGACCCUAUCUCAAGGUAUCUUUAUGCUGCAAAGCAGAGCGAGAAGUUUCAAGCUCUUAAGCCAGCUAGGCAAGACCCUAUAUGAAGAAAUCACCUAAAGAAAACAAGUGUGAGGCUUGUGUUCAAACCUCAGUACCUUUGAGUUAUUUUUAAAAUAAUAAGGAAUGAAGAAUGAAGUUUUGAUGUGCAAUAUAUGCCUUAUAAUCCAAGUGCAUGAGAGACUGUGAGGCAGAUCAAGAAUUGGAGGGUAGCUCCAACUAUUAUCUAAUAAAACAAAGGAAAAGGGCUCGGGUUCUGCAGGAUUGGCUCCAUGAUACAGUGCUCGCCUGGCACAUUCAGUGUCCUGGGUUCCAUCCCUUUGCCUAUUAAAAAAUUAAAAAGUGGAGUUCCAGUUUUACCUUAGUGGAAGAGCGCUUGCCUAGCAUCUGCAAGGCCCUGAGUUUGGUCCUCAGUACUGCCCAAAAAAAGGGGGGUGGGGUGGGGCAGUAUAAGUCAGAUGGGCUAGUAACUUGCCCUAAAUUAAGCAAUGCCAAGCUGACCAAUAGGCCCCUCUCAGGGCAAAAGAAAACAAAUCUAGACAGUACCAAGCCCCACAUCUUAGGUGAUUUCUUCCUUCAUCAGUGGGAAGAGAAAUGCCUUUAUCCUUCCAUCCAGGGAUGAGAGUCUCCUCCACUGGGUAGAUGCUGUUCUCUCUAAACUCUUCACACAUCUAAGAUUUUUGUUUUUUGUUUUUGCUAAGAGCCUUGUUUGGCUUUUUUGCUUAAGCUGGCACUCUAUCAUAAUUGAGCCACACUUCCACCACUUUGCUGGCCAGUUAAAGAGUCUCACAGACUCUUCUGCCUGAGUUGAUUUCAGACAUCAGUCCUCACAGCCUGAGGAGCAAGAAUUACAGGCACAAGCCAACGGCACCUGGCUUUUUAAAAAGUCUGAUUUUGAUUUUAGUAGAUACAAUAUAUUUGUCUACACAGCUUAAGAAUCAGAGCUUAUUUUGCUUAUUAUAUAUUCAUUUUGUGUGGUGUGCAGUAAUUUCUCCUACAGUAUAGUUUUCACCUAUAAAUAAAUUCAAAUUACUUCAAGUAACUUUUGUCAGUAUACACAAAUAGGACAUUGGAUAGUAGAAAG